rnacentral:rRNA from 1 species
UGACCUCAAAUCAGGUAGGAUUACCCGCUGAACUUAAGCAUAUCAAUAAGCGGAGGAAAAGAAACUAACAAGGAUUCCCCUAGUAACUGCGAGUGAAGAGGGAAYAGCUCAAAUUUAAAAUCUGGCAUU